GGGCCCAUAACUCAGUCUGGUAGAGUGGCAGGCUUUUAACCUGCAAGUCGGGGGUUCAAAUCCCCCUGGGCCCACCA
rnacentral:tRNA from 1 species